GGCGCCAUCGUCUAGUGGUUAGGACACCAGGUUUUCAUCCUGGGAACAGGGGUUCGAUUCCCCUUGGCGCUA
rfam:Parcubacteria (Magasanikbacteria) bacterium GW2011_GWC2_42_27 TV18_C0004, whole genome shotgun sequence.